rnacentral:rRNA from 1 species
AGUAACGCGUGGUCAGCCUACCGUUGAGUGGGGGAUAACUAGCCGAAAGGUUAGCUAAUACCGCAUACGUCUCCGAGGGGCAUCCCUUGGCGAUAAAAGGAGCAAUCCGCUCGAUGACGGGACCGCGUCCCAUUAGCUAGAUGGUGGGGUAACGGCCUACCAUGGCACCGAUGGGUAGCUGGUUUGAGAGAGCGACCAGCCACACUGGGACUGAGACACGGCCCAG